UGCAAGUCGAGCGGCAGCGCGGGGCAACCUGGCGGCGAGCGGCGAACGGGUGAGUAAUGCAUCGGAACAUGUCCAUUCGUGGGGGAUAGCCCGGCGAAAGCCGGAUUAAUACCGCAUACGCCCUGAGGGGGAAAGUGGGGGACCGCAAGACCUCGCGCUAUUGGAGCGGCCGAUGUCGGAUUAGCUUGUUGGUGAGGUAAAAGCUCACCAAGGCGACGAUCCGUAGCUGGUCUGAGAGGACGACCAGCCACACUGGGACUGAGACACGGCCCAGACUCCUACGGGAGGCAGCAGUGGGGAAUUUUGGACAAUGGGCGAAAGCCUGAUCCAGCCAUGCCGCGUGUGUGAAGAAGGCCUUCGGGUUGUAAAGCACUUUUGUCCGGAACGAAACGGCGAGAGCGAAUACCUUUCGUUAAUGACGGUACCGGAAGAAUAAGCACCGGCUAACUACGUGCCAGCAGCCGCGGUAAUACGUAGGGUGCGAGCGUUAAUCGGAAUUACUGGGCGUAAAGCGUGCGCAGGCGGUUUCGCAAGUCAGAUGUGAAAUCCCCGGGCUUAACCUGGGAACUGCAUUUGAAACUACGAGGCUAGAGUGUGUCAGAGGGGGGUGGAAUUCCACGUGUAGCAGUGAAAUGCGUAGAGAUGUGGAGGAACACCGAUGGCGAAGGCAGCCCCCUGGGAUGACACUGACGCUCAUGCACGAAGCGUGGGGAGCAAACAGGAUUAGAUACCCUGGUAGUCCACGCCCUAAACGAUGUCAACUAGUUGUCGGGUCUUAAUUGACUUGGUAACGCAGCUAACGCGUGAAGUUGACCGCCUGGGGAGUACGGUCGCAAGAUUAAAACUCAAAGGAAUUGACGGGGACCCGCACAAGCGGUGGAUGAUGUGGAUUAAUUCGAUGCAACGCGAAAAACCUUACCUACCCUU
rnacentral:rRNA from 1 species